rnacentral:rRNA from 1 species
AUUGAACGCUGGCGGCAUGCCUUACACAUGCAAGUCGAACGGCAGCACGGGUGCUUGCACCUGGUGGCGAGUGGCGCACGGGUGAGUAAUACAUCGGAACAUGUCCUGUAGUGGGGGAUAGCCCGGCGAAAGCCGGAUUAAUACCGCAUACGAUCUACGUAUGAAAGCGGGGGACCUUCGGGCCUCGCGCUAUAGGGUUGGCCGAUGGCUGAUUAGCUAGUUGGUGGGGUAAAGGCCUACCAAGGCGACGAUCAGUAGCUGGUCUGAGAGGACGACCAGCCACACUGGAACUGAGACACGGCCCAGACUCCUACGGGAGGCAGCAGUGGGGAAUUUUGGACAAUGGGCGAAAGCCUGAUCCAGCAAUGCCGCGUGUGUGAAGAAGGCCUUCGGGUUGUAAAGCACUUUUGUCCGGAAAGAAAUACUUGGCCCUAAUACGGUCGGGGGAUGACGGUACCGGAAGAAUAAGCACCGGCUAACUACGUG